GAUGAACGCUGGCGGCGUGCUUAACACAUGCAAGUCGAACGGGGUGCCUUUGAAAGAGGAUUCGUCCAAUUGAGAGGGUUACCUAGUGGCGGACGGGUGAGUAACGCGUGAGUAACCUGCCUUGGAGUGGGGAAUAACACAUCGAAAGAUGUGCUAAUACCGCAUAAUGCAGUUGGGCCGCAUGGCUCUGACUGCCAAAGAUUUAUCGCUCUGAGAUGGACUCGCGUCUGAUUAGCUGGUUGGCGGGGGUAACGGCCCACCAAGGCGACGAUCAGUAGCCGGACUGAGAGGUUGACCGGCCACAUUGGGACUGAGACACGGCCCAG
rnacentral:rRNA from 1 species